rnacentral:lncRNA from 1 species
GUGGUCUCUCCUCUUCCCAUACACACCUUACGGAUUCUUCACAGGGUGUGAUGAUGGGAAGCCUAGACACGCUUAUCAGAAGUUUGUCCUCUUAUCGGGAUACGUCAGAAAUUAGAGAGACCCUGGCAAUCACAGCUUCCACCUCCUCAUUUUACAAAUGAGCAACUAGGCUCAGAGUACAGAAGUGGCUUUCCCAGGGUCACACAGCCAGCUUGUGACAGAGUCAGGAUUCAAGUACCAUCUCCUGACUUCUCCAUUGCACCAGACGUCGAUAGAACACAGAGAACCUAAAAGAAGAAAGAAAAAAAAAUAGAGCUUUUGGGAAUAUAUUGGGCUUCUGGUUUUCAAGGACAAUUUUAUGAUAAGUAGCAAUGAUGCCUCAAAAGCUCUGGUAGCUAGCUUGAAUGAACUUAUGUAAUAAACAUUUAUCACAGAACAUGUGUCAUCAAACACCUGCCAGUUCUGAGCGUUGGCACCAAAGCUGCUUUCAUUGUCAAAGAAAAGAGGGGGAAAGGAACUUGGCUGAACAAAGCUGGCAGACGUUUAUACUAGAAAAUUUAGAGAUGUCAGGAGCAAGGGAGCACCAGUGGUAGAAGAACCUGCCUCCCCUGGCUCCAUCAAAGGCCACAGGCCCAUGAGAAUCACCCGGCCUGCUCUGAGCAGCACACUCGGAGGCCACAGCCACGCACAGGAAAGUGAGAGGAAGUGGAAACGUGCGAGCAGAGGGCUCAAAGCGACGGGCUCACCACCGG